AACCCAUGAUGUGGGCACCGCCUAGGUAGGUCCAUGAAUCAUUCAUGUGCCUUAAAAUGUGUCUCAGACUCUCUUUGCUUAAACACUGAGAUCUCCUGUUUGAUCUU